rnacentral:lncRNA from 1 species
UUUGAAAGUCUGAAUCCACAAAUAUGUAUUGUGCUCUAAUUGCCAGGUCUGGGCUUAGAUACUGGGGAUACAGCAUUGCAGCAGGGAAUUUGCAAAAUGAAAUGGAACCGUGAAGAAAGGAAAUGAAAAUAAAUCACCCUGUUUCCAUAGUCACCUCCCCCACACUAGUGGACUAUUCUCUCUUAAUCAGCUCCCUCAAACUCCUGCCUCUAGGACCUUCAUUCUCUCUGACUUCUUUGAUCAUGGAGCAUUAAGAUCACCAUAUGUUGGAUAUUGUUAAAUAACAUGAGUGGACACAAGAACAACAGCUCUGGUCAUGGCUGUGACUUGGUUAUAAGUUAACUUUAUGGGUCACUGAGUGUCUGGAAACAAACUAUAAAAAGAAGAAAGGGUGGCCCAGGCAGCUUUCUGUUGGAAAUGGCUGUGACCAGUUGCUUCUGGAAGGGAGAUGUAUUGACUGCAAUAAAACUUGAUAGGCUCAGCACUUGUCUGUUAAGGCUAGAAUCGGAAGUCAACUUUGGACCUGAGUAAUUGGUAUAAAUUUGUGUAUAAGGGCAAGACAGAAGGGAUUUUAUUCCAAGUGGUCAACAAUAUGGUGUCCAGCUGCUGCAUAUGAUCUGCCUGCUCUCUGACCUCUAAUCCCGCGAGACUAUCUGCAUCGUCUGGGGUAAUCCUAAUAUCCAAG